rnacentral:rRNA from 1 species
AGUGAACGCUGGCGGUAGGCCUAACACAUGCAAGUCGAACGGCAGCACAGUAAGAGCUUGCUCUUACGGGUGGCGAGUGGCGGACGGGUGAGGAAUACAUCGGAAUCUACUUUUUCGUGGGGGAUAACGUAGGGAAACUUACGCUAAUACCGCAUACGACCUACGGGUGAAAGCAGUGGAUCUUCGCACCUUGCGCGAUUGAAUGAGCCGAUGUCGGAUUAGCUAGUUGGCGGGGUAAAGGCCCACCAAGGCGACAAUCCGUAGCUGGUCUGAGAGGAUGAUCAGCCACACUGGAACUGAGACACGGUCCAGACUCCUACGGGAGGCAGCAGUGGGGAAUAUUGGACAAUGGGCGCAAGCCUGAUCCAGCCAUACCGCGUGGGUGAAGAAGGCCUUCGGGUUGUAAAGCCCUUUUGUUGGGAAAGAAAAGCAGCAGGUUAAUACCCCGCUGUUCUGACGGUACCCAAAGAAUAAGCACCGGCUAACUUCGUG